UCCAGACUCCUACGGGAGGCAGCAGUGGGGGAUAUUGCACAAUGGGGGAAACCCUGAUGCAGCGACGCCGCGUGAGUGAAGAAGUAUUUCGGUAUGUAAAGCUCUAUCAGCAGGGAAGAAAAAAGACGGUACCUGACUAAGAAGCCCCGGCUAACUACGUGCCAGCAGCCGCGGUAAUACGUAGGGGGCAAGCGUUAUCCGGAUUUACUGGGUGUAAAGGGAGCGUAGACGGCAAUACAAGUCGGAAGUGAAAUACCCGGGCUCAACCUGGGAACUGCUUUGGAAACUGUAUGGCUGGAGUGCUGGAGAGGUAAGCGGAAUUCCUAGUGUAGCGGUGAGAUGCGUAGAUAUUAGGAGGAACACCAGUGGCGAAGGCGGCUUACUGGACAGUAACUGACGUUGAGGCUCGAAAGCGUGGGGAGCAAACAGGAUUAGAUACCCGCGUAAUU
rnacentral:rRNA from 1 species